CACAGUUUAUCAUUUCUGACUCCUAAUUAAUCAACAUUUCUUUCUCUGCCCUGGGAGCCUAGAAGAGUUGGAGUGUUCUUGUGAAUGCUAUAAUGCCGCUAGAUUAAACAGACUUUGACCCUCUCUAUGGAUUCGGGCUGCUCUCAGCAUUCAUCUGGGUAAACACUGAGAAUAGUUUUGAGAGAGGAGGCAUGGACUGUGGUGUCUGUCAUUGGCCUUUUGGUUGACAUCUCUGUUCUCAUUCUUUGAUGUGUGGUCUGCACUGGGCAAAGUCCCCUGUUUCCUCUGAAAAGAUUCAGACAAGAAUCUUUCUGAAAGAAAAUGACUAUGCAAAUACCAGGCAGUCUGCUCUCUCCUGAAUUUUGUAAGUUUACACAACGGAUUGAGUUUGGUGUAAAUGACAUCAAGCUUGAUAUGCGAUGCAUUUUAAAUACCUUGCCGGGAGAGAACACAUCACAAAUUCUGACAACCUUUCUUCAUCUCAGAGAGCAGGACUGCAGUGACUCAGGCAUAACUGCAUUUAAAAGUGAUAGCAUGAUUGGAUUACAAAUGAGCAUACAGCACCCUGAAAUGCCUCUCUGGACCAAUAUAAAUAAUAAUGGAUCUCAGACAUCAACGAAUAGCUCCUGCGGUUGUCAAGCCUUUCCAUCUCUAUCAGUGAAUCAACCUGGAACGUAACUUAAAUUUUUGGUUCGGAAAUGAGACAUCAUAGUAAAGAGUGAAGAGGAAGCUGGGAAAUUAGUUCACAAAAGGUGAGUUGGAAAAGAUAUACAAAAAAGAAGCAUUACUGUACAUACAAUUACUGUUUGUUUAUAGAAUAUUAUUGGGUCAAGACAUACUACCAACACACAAUUGUGGACCUAUGCAUUUAUAGACAGUAGUGCACACCAG
rnacentral:lncRNA from 1 species